rnacentral:rRNA from 1 species
AGAUGUGAAAUCCCCGGGCUCAACCUGGGAACUGCAUUUGAAACUGGCAGGCUUGAGUCUCGUAGAGGGGGGUAGAAUUCCAGGUGUAGCGGUGAAAUGCGUAGAGAUCUGGAG